rnacentral:rRNA from 1 species
GCGUGUGUGAAGAAGGCCUUAGGGUUGUAAAGCACUUUCGCCCGCGAAGAUGAUGACGGUAGCGGGAGAAGAAGCCCCGGCUAACUCCGUGCCAGCAGCCGCGGUAAUACGGAGGGGGCUAGCGUUGUUCGGAAUUACUGGGCGUAAAGCGCACGUAGGCGGCGUACCGAGUUAGGUGUGAAAGGCCUGGGCUCAACCUGGGAACUGCACUUAAUACUGGUAUGCUGGAGUCCGGAAGGGGGUGGCGGAAUUCCCAGUGUAGAGGUGAAAUUCGU